AGUCGAGCGAACAGACGAGGAGCUUGCUCCUCUGACGUUAGCGGCGGACGGGUGAGUAACACGUGGAUAACCUACCUAUAAGACUGGGAUAACUUCGGGAAACCGGAGCUAAUACCGGAUAAUAUAUUGAACCGCAUGGUUCAAUAGUGAAAGACGGUUUUGCUGUCACUUAUAGAUGGAUCCGCGCCGCAUUAGCUAGUUGGUAAGGUAACGGCUUACCAAGGCGACGAUGCGUAGCCGACCUGAGAGGGUGAUCGGCCACACUGGAACUGAGACACGGUCCAGACUCCUACGGGAGGCAGCAGUAGGGAAUCUUCCGCAAUGGGCGAAAGCCUGACGGAGCAACGCCGCGUGAGUGAUGAAGGUCUUCGGAUCGUAAAACUCUGUUAUUAGGGAAGAACAAAUGUGUAAGUAACUAUGCACGUCUUGACGGUACCUAAUCAGAAAGCCACGGCUAACUACGUGCCAGCAGCCGCGGUAAUACGUAGGUGGCAAGCGUUAUCCGGAAUUAUUGGGCGUAAAGCGCGCGUAGGCGGUUUUUUAAGUCUGAUGUGAAAGCCCACGGCUCAACCGUGGAGGGUCAUUGGAAACUGGAAAACUUGAGUGCAGAAGAGGAAAGUGGAAUUCCAUGUGUAGCGGUGAAAUGCGCAGAGAUAUGGAGGAACACCAGUGGCGAAGGCG
rnacentral:rRNA from 1 species